GAUGAACGCUGGCGGCGUGCCUAAUACAUGCAAGUCGAGCGAACGGACGAGAAGCUUGCUUCUCUGAUGUUAGCGGCGGACGGGUGAGUAACACGUGGAUAACCUACCUAUAAGACUGGGAUAACUUCGGGAAACCGGAGCUAAUACCGGAUAAUAUUUUGAACCGCAUGGUUCAAAAGUGAAAGACGGUCUUGCUGUCACUUAUAGAUGGAUCCGCGCUGCAUUAGCUAGUUGGUAAGGUAACGGCUUACCAAGGCAACGAUGCAUAGCCGACCUGAGAGGGUGAUCGGCCACACUGGAACUGGGACACGGUCCAGACUCCUACGGGAGGCAGCAGUAGGGAAUCUUCCGCAAUGGGCGAAAGUCUGACGGAGCAACGCCGCGUGAGUGAUGAAGGUCUUCGGAUCGUAAAACUCUGUUAUUAGGGAAGAACAUAUGUGUAAGUAACUGUGCACAUCUUGACGGUACCUAAUCAGAAAGCCACGGCUAACUACGUG
rnacentral:rRNA from 1 species